rnacentral:rRNA from 1 species
GAUGAACGCUGGCGGCGUGCUUAACACAUGCAAGUCGAACGGCAAGGCCCUGCUUUUGUGGGGUGCUCGAGUGGCGAACGGGUGAGUAACACGUGAGUAACCUGCCCUUGACUUUGGGAUAACUUCAGGAAACUGGGGCUAAUACCGGAUAGGAGCUCCUGCUGCAUGGUGGGGGUUGGAAAGUUUCGGCGGUUGGGGAUGGACUCGCGGCUUAUCAGCUUGUUGGUGGGGUAGUGGCUUACCAAGGCUUUGACGGGUAGCCGGCCUGAGAGGGUGACCGGCCACAAUGGGACUGAGAGACGGCGCAGUCGCCUACGGGAGACAACAGGGGGAAAUAUGGCACAAUGAGCGGAAGCCUGAUAAGGCAACGCUGGGGGCGGAAUGACGGCCUGCGGGGUAAGAACCGCUUUCGCCUGAGACGAAGCGUGAGUGACGGUAAUGGGUGAAGAAGCACCGGCUAACUACGUG